rnacentral:rRNA from 1 species
ACGAAGGGACCUAGCGUAGUUCGGAAUUACUGGGCGUAAAGAGUAUGUAGGCGGCUAGAUAAGUUAAUUGUGAAAGCCCAAAGCUUAACUUUGGAAUUGCAAUUAAAACUAUUUAGCUGGAGUAUGAUAGAGGAAAGCGGAAUACAUAGUGUAGAGGUGAAAUUCGUAGAUAUUAUGUAGAACACCAGUUGCGAAGGCGGCUUUCUGGAUCAUUACUGACGCUGAGAUACGAAAGUAUGGGUAGCGAAGAGG